UACGUAGGGUGCGAGCGUUGUCCGGAUUUAUUGGGCGUAAAGAGCUCGUAGGCGGUUUGUCGCGUCGGCCGUGAAAUCUCCACGCUUAACGUGGAGCGUGCGGUCGAUACGGGCGGGCUGGAGUUCGGUAGGGGAGACUGGAAUUCCUGGUGUAGCGGUGGAAUGCGCAGAUAUCAGGAGGAACACCGGUGGCGAAGGCGGGGUCUCUGGGCAAUAACUGACGCUGAGGAGCGAAAGCGUGGGGAGCGAACAGG
rnacentral:rRNA from 1 species